rnacentral:rRNA from 1 species
UGGGGAAUAUUGCACAAUGGGGGAAACCCUGAUGCAGCGACGCCGCGUGAGCGAUGAAGGCUUUCGAGUCGUAAAGCUCUGUCCUAUGGGAAGAUAAUGACGGUACCAUAGAAGAAAGCCCCGGCUAAAUACGUGCCAGCAGCCGCGGUAAUACGUAAGGGGCGAGCGUUGUCCGGAAUUAUUGGGCGUAAAGAGUGCGUAGGCGGCAAAUUAAGUCAGAUGUGAAAACUAAGGGCUCAACCCAUAGAUUGCAUCUGAAACUGAUAUGCUUGAGUCAAGGAGAGGAAAGUGGAAUUCCUAGUGUAGCGGUGGAAUGCGUAGAUAUUAGGAGGAAUACCGGUGGCGAAGGCGACUUUCUGGACUUGAACUGACGCUGAGGCACGAAAGCGUGGGGAGCAAACAGG